rnacentral:rRNA from 1 species
AUUGAACGCUGGCGGCAUGCUUUACACAUGCAAGUCGAACGGUAACAGGUUAAGCUGACGAGUGGCGAACGGGUGAGCAAUGCAUCGGAACGUGCCCGGUCGUGGGGGAUAACGCAGCGAAAGUUGCGCUAAUACCGCAUACGAUCUGAGGAUGAAAGCGGGGGACCGUAAGGCCUCGCGCGAUCGGAGCGGCCGAUGUCAGAUUAGGUAGUUGGUGGGGUAAAGGCUCACCAAGCCAACGAUCUGUAGCUGAUCUGAGAGGACGACCAGCCACACUGGGGCUGAGACACGGCCCAGACUCCUACGGGAGGCGGCAGUGGGGAAUUUUGGACAAUGGGGGAAAGCCUGAUCCAGCAAUGCCGCGUGCAGGAAGAAGGCCUUCGGGUUGUAAACUGCUUUUGUACGGAGCGAAAAGGUCUCCUCUAAUACAGGGGGCUCAUGACGGUACCGUAAGAAUAAGCACCGGCUAACUACGUGCCAGCCGCCGCCGUAA